AAAUUGAAGAGUUUGAUCAUGGCUCAGAUUGAACGCUGGCGGCAGGCCUAACACAUGCAAGUCGAACGGUAGCACAGAGAGCUUGCUCUCGGGUGACGAGUGGCGGACGGGUGAGUAAUGUCUGGGAAACUGCCUGAUGGAGGGGGAUAACUACUGGAAACGGUGGCUAAUACCGCAUAACGUCGCAAGACCAAAGAGGGGGACCUUCGGGCCUCUUGCCAUCAGAUGUGCCCAGAUGGGAUUAGCUAGUUGGUGAGGUAACGGCUCACCAAGGCGACGAUCCCUAGCUGGUCUGAGAGGAUGACCAGCCACACUGGAACUGAGACACGGUCCAGACUCCUACGGGAGGCAGCAGUGGGGAAUAUUGCACAAUGG
rnacentral:rRNA from 2 species